UUACAAUUGUUAUAUACAAAGUCAAUAUGAGAUGAUAUAUACAAACGGUAAUAUAAUACAGAAUACAAUUAAAGUUCCUAUAUUAUAGCUACUUUCAUAUAUACAGCUAAAAAUAUAUUUGAAGUCUGUUGCGGAAAAGCGUCUGGUUGAAAAAGAGUGUGAUGUUUCCCAGCACAAAAAGAACGUGCAUAGGGAAUUGUGGGAUGUUAUGAUGGCCAUGUUAAUGUUAGAGAAUUGGUAUAUAAGCUCUUGUGAAAUAUUUGUGGAUAGAGGGUGUGUUCGGUUAGACAAUAUAAUGGACAGGUAUAGGUAUAUAUCAUGAAUGUAUUUAGAUUUUAUAUUGUGUAGAUGGAUUGUAUUGUUGUUGAUUUUGAAUUCUUUGGUGAGAUAAUGUUGUUUAUAUGUGUAGUAAUGAAACAUUUAUAGAAUUUUAAUUUGGGGCAAUUCAGAAAUAAAUGAUGGUAAGAUUCAGUUGCUCGGUUACAAUAGUGGCAUUUAUAGUUGAUAGUAUAUAUAUUUCUGUAUAGCAUAAUAUCUUUUGUUAGUACUGCAUUAUUGAUGAUUGUAUACAUGAAAUCCUUUUCUUUUUCAGAUAAGGAGGAGCAUUUAUAGAGAUUUGUCCAGACUUUUGAAAAGUCAACAUGAGGAUAGGAGUAGUGUGAUGGUUUUCCAACAGAAAGGAUUUCAGUUUUAUCAUGGUUUAGUUUGGAGCCAGAUAUAGAGCCAAAUGUUUUGAAUUGUUCGAGGAGAGUGCUGUAUGAAGAAAGUCUAGAUAUUAUAGCAGAACAGUCAUCUGCAUGCUGAAAUAACUUAAUCUCUGAAGGGUGGUUAGGGAUCCUGAUGCCUUAUAUGAGGAUGUUUUUGUUUAUGUAUGAAGCAAGGGGGUUGAUACACAAUGAGUAUAGAAUCAUGGAUAGUGGACAUCCUUGACGAAUCGAUCGGUUAAUUUUAAUAUUUUGGGAAAAGGAUCCAUUUACUUGGACUUUACUAAUCAAGUUUUUAAACAAUAUUGUAACCCAGUUAAGGAUGUAAUUUGGGAAAUUAAUAUGUUUAAGUAGAUUUAUGAUAUAGUUGUGUUCAAUGCGAUCGAAGGCUUUUUCUUGGUCAAAUGAUAAUAUAUAGGCACUGGACUCAUUUGUGUUUAUAUAAUUUAGUAUUGUAUCUAUUGAAUAUAGGUUAUCAAAAAUGCUUUUAUUUGGUCCAGCUCCUGUUUGUGUAUUAGAGAUUAAUUUGUUAAUAACAGAAUUUAUUCUUGUGCUUAGAAUUUUUGUUAUGAUUUUAUAGUCCACACAUAACAGGCUUAUCGGUCUAUAGUUCUUGAGUAAUCGAUGGUCGCCUUUAUUCUUGUAGUUUAUUGUUAUGAUACCAGUUCUCAUUGUGUUAGAUAAUUCCCCCUGUAGAUAGAUGUUAUUUAAUACUUCUGUUAAAUCGUUUCCUAUAAUGUCAAAUAAUUUUAUGUAGAAAUCUCCUGGAAUACCAUCUAUACCCGGGCUACGGUUUGUUCUAAAUUUUUGUAACUCCUUAAGGACUUCAUCUCUAGAUAUAAAAUGUGAUAUUGAAUCUCUUUCCGUGUUUGUUAGUGUGUUUAUGUCACUGUUUUCGAUAUAGGACUUCAUUAAGUUAUCAUUAAUAUUUUGAGAAGUAUAUAGUUGUUGGUAGAAUUGGUGAAUUGUGUGUAAUAUAUCUUGUUUAUUGUCACAGAUUGUAUUAUUUUGAUUGAUCAGUUGUUUAAUUUGUUUUUUUGCACCCUUUUUAACUUCUGCUAAUUUAUAUAUUUUAGAAUUAGUAGAUACAUCAAUUUGGGGUAUUUCUAAUUUUGAACGUAUAACGUAGCCUUGUUUGGUAUUAUAUUCUAUAAGCUCAAUUUUUGAUUUAAUCUCGUUUAUAGAGUUAUUCUUACUAGGUAUUUCAUUUUCUAGGGAUUCCAGUUGUUGAUAAAGGUUACUGAGGAUAUGUUUGUUCUCAACUGCUAAGGCUUGACAGUAAUUUUGUGUAAUAUUUCUAAUAGCGGCUUUACCUUUUUCCCACCAUUGUAUGUUGUCAAUGAUUUGGUAUUUUUUGUUUUGCACGCUUGACCAGAAUGUUUUAAUUUGAUUUUGGUAGUUUUUAUCAUCUAGAAUAGAAUUGUUAAGUUUCCAAUAUCCUUUACCCCAUUUAAGAUUGUUAAGGUUGAUAUUUAGUUCCACUGCUUUAUAGUCAGUGAAAUGAAGUGGUAUAUGUUUAAUUGAUUUGAUGUAAGUUGCAUAUUUAUUACUUAUGUAAAUGCGGUCUAAUCUGCUAGCAUGACCUUGUGAGUUGUGAUAGGUAAAAAGGGGAGUGUCAGGGGAGAUAAUUCUGUAACCAUCACUUAUAUUAGGCCACACAAAAUAAAUGUCUUGUUUCUCGGGCAACUGACAGCUGAAACUGUAGGGAGGGAGGGCGGUUUCUUUUUUUUUUUUUACUCAUUGAUGGUGCAAAAUAAAAUUUGGCUAUUGCUGAAAAUUGUUGGGGCGGGAAGGCGGUCUUUCUUUUUUUUUUUUUUUAAAUGAGAAAGUCAUUACUUGUUUACGUUUUUGCUUUCCGUUAUAUUCAACUUUAUUGUACAUACUUAAAACAUAAACCCAAAAUCAAGUCUACUAAAACACUGAGACUGAACACUGACUGAAAGGAAAAUAAUUUUCCAUAUUUAAUUCACAUAAUUGAAAUUGGUUUAAAAUAAAAUUCCAUACGACUAUGUAAUAGCCCUCCAUAAAGACAACAAUAUUUUUAAAAACUAAGCCUCUUUCACCAGGUGUAUCAAAAAUAAUAAUCAUGGUAAACAGUAUUUAAAACUAAAUCUAGUAUCGCCGGUUUAUUUAUAAUUAUUUACCGAAUUCCAACCAAUGCAUGUCACACCGUGUCAUCGGUAUUGGAGAUUGCCGGAAAUACUGUUUCUUGGGAUAUUCGGUGUGUUUCUCAGGAUAUUCGGUGUUCUAUCCGGUGUUUAUAUUGAAUGACUAUUUAAAUCUAACUAACAACUGGUCAGUAAAACCACCAAAUCGGUAAUCCAAUUAUUAUUUUCCGGAUUAUCGAAACUACCGUAAAUGUGCUAAUAAUGACCCAGAUUCUAAGGUAUGCAUUAUGACGACUAUCGUCAUCGUAUCGUAUUCUUAGCUAUAAUUAAUUAACCUGUUCUACGGUUCAUUAUUUUAUCAAUAGGAUUUUCCAAACAAGGACCGACUGAAGCCGGCAAUAAUGAGCCGAUUACGAUCGAAUGAUUGAAAUAUUGUCGCCAAUGACUUUUAACACGAAUCAAAUUCUAGUUUAUCAGGGGAGGUAAUUAAUAUCACGUGAUACAAAAUGGAGGUUCUUUCGAUAUCAAUAAAAAAGGCAAAUCUGCCAAACUUCGCCAUUGUUCGGAUAAAUAAGACAGCAUGUUCAUCUGAAUCAGUUUUAAUACAUUUGAAUAGAUAUACAUGUAUGGCGGAUGUAGGUACAUGCGGGAUAUUUUUUUUACGACUUGCUUGUCGAUGUGCGGGCGGGCGUUACAUAUUUAUUUUUUUUCAUCAAGACUAAUAAAUAGACUGCACGCGCAACCAAUUUUGCGUGCGGGCGGUGCCCGAGAAACAAGUUAUUUUAUUUGUGUUGCCUUAAGUAGAUUUUGUAUAUCAAGUAGAUAUCUUAUAGCAUCUUUUGGAUGGUUAUUCAUGUUGCCAUGUUUGUUAUCUUUACUGUUUUCAAUAAGGUUAAAAUCACCAGUAAUAAUAUAAGAAUGUUGUGGAUUAUGAAUAGUUUUGACAUAUUCAAGAAGUCUCUUGUAGUAAUAAGUUUUCAAUUCUCUCUUGCAGGGACCAUAUAUAUUGAAUAUUUGAAUAGUUUCAUUAUUUGCAUUUACCUCCAGAUGUUGGAGCCUACCUGCUAAUUCAUCAGGUGUAUUGUAGAGUUUAUGUAUAAUGUUUGGGCUUAAUAAUAGGGCAAUGCCAAUCUUUGUUUCAUUAUAUGCAGUGUAUAAGUUAUAGCCAGUUUCGUUUUCAACAUUUUUUAUUUGAUGGACAUUGGAUUUUAGGAUUUCUUGUAUACAAACAAUAUCUAGUUUGUUAAAUAUAUUGCUAAUUUGUUUAAUCGUUUGAAGAUUUCCUUGUAGAGUGUUUAUGGAGUAAAUUAACAUAAUAAUUAGGUAAAUAAUAGGGAUAGAAGGCUUCAUUGUUAACUAAUAUGGUUUCAAGAACUUAUAACGUCUUAAUUUGUUUGAUCUCUAAACUUCUGUUUCGGUAAGCGGGGAUUCCGCUCGCGCCCUUUUAUCAUCUAUUUCUGUUUCGGAUAAACUAUCAAGGCUUCUUUCCCUUUUACUUACUGUGUCACACUUAGUGACUGUAGAGAUAUUUAACAAUGAGACAUCAGUGUCAUAGUUAAGAUUUGACUGCGAUGUUUCAGGGAUAUCAUGGGAUGAGUUGUCAAUGAUACUGUUAUCCUCUAAAUAACUUUGACCCACUGAGGAUCCUGUGUUAAUGGGGGUGGAAGGAACAUGACCACUAGAUGUAUCAAUAAUAGACUUAUUAACAUCAUUGAUAAAAUGGCUAUCAGGGCUGAGGAUAACAUUUGUUGUAUCGGUAGUGAUAGGAAUGUCAUUGUUGACUACUGUUGUUUUUAUGGAGUCUAGAGUAGCUAAGUCCUGGUUUAGACUUCCUGGGUUUGCGGGUUUGACUUGACCAGAAUUAAAGACAUUUGUUUUUGUCGUAUUAUUUUUUGAGGGGAUAUUAUUGACACCAGGGUUAUUGUCUUCACUAGGGUCAUAACCUAAGACAUGGUUAUUGAUAUUUAGGUGCUCAUGAUUAGGUUCAUAAAUAUUAUCAAUAUUAUGGGUGGGUUCAGUGGCUAUAUCAGCAGAUACUAUAGCACUGUUUGGACUAGUUUGGGGUUGAAGGGCAGGAAAUUCCAUUUGAUCAUCAAGAUUUGGUGCAUUGGGGUUGGUUGGCAGACUAUAUCUUUUGUCUGGUUUUGUACAUUCACGGCCAAGAUGCCCAUGCAGACCGCAGUUGUAACAAAUUUUGCCCCUAGUUUGGCCCUCAUAUUUAAUGGAUACAUGUAUCCCUUUUAUAUAAAUGUGCGAUGGAAUAGGUUUAAACAUUUUUUUUACAUAAACAAUUCUAACACCGCUUUCGACCGUUGGAAAUGGUUUGAAGCAGGAUCUGUCACAUUUAACCAAUUCACAAAGUUCAUCAAUUUGUUAACCAGAUAUUUAUUGUCCAUUUCGAAUGGUAGGCCGAAGACCGCAACAGGAAUUGAAUCAACAGGGUAGUCCCAUGUGAUGUUUCCAGCCGACUCUACUGUAUAAUUGCAAUUCUUCACUGAGAAGGUCUUGAGAUUCUCAAGAAAUAACUCCUUGGCAAGUAUAUCCUUAAGAGGUAGGCAAAACUUGCCCUUACCUACAUUUUGGAGACAUUUUAUAUUGCUGAUGUCAAAAUCCUUAGCUUGUAGGAAAUAUAAUAUGUCUACUGAAGCAAUACCAGUGGAGGGGUUAUCAUCGUCGGGAAUCAGUUCAACAGUAUUGUCACGAAUUAUACGGUUUGUUACACUCAUCUCCCCAUUAGGGUUAAUUGUCAUCUUUGUCGAUUUUAUGUAACUCAUUGUCAAUAAAACACUUCAACAGCU